CACGUUUGUCACGAGACGUAGCGAGACUGGAAACAUUACUUACACCUGGAGCUGGCGGCUCCGUGGGUCGGACGAAUAUUUCAGGAAUAUUACUGUCGUCUUCUCCGAUGAUGCCCACAAUACUACAGACCACUUCGCUAAUGACUAUGUGUUAAAUAUGAUAAUAGUCGGCAGUACAGCAGGGAGCUUAUCCAUCAUUGUAGUAGCCAUCAUUACCGUCAUUCAUAUUUUCUAUCAGAAAAGUGGUAUGUGUAAUUUAGUCUUUUAUCUCUUUCUAACUCUGUCAGUUAGCUUCUUCUGUGUAUUGCCGCUCUACAUUGAUGUGUUUGUCUGUAAAAUUUCUAGUUUGCCUCGUGCUUUCUUUUUGUCUUUCACUUUGUUUUGUGCGAGAGAAGCAAUAUAAAAGCCAAUUCAUCCGAGCCCUGCUGACAACGGUGUCUAGAGAUUUUUCAGACUAUUACCAGGACAAUCAAAGAAUUCGACGAUUGAAAGGCAACGAAUAUUGCCAUCAACUUUCUCAUCAACUUAAUUAUUGAGAGUAUAUCGAUAUAAUAAUACAAAGCGCAGUUAACUGUCUGUUCGAGGAACGACAUCAAGGGUCCGCCGACGUCUGAUGUUGUCGUCCUUUAAUAAACAACAUGGACGACUGAAUCUGUCUUCGAGAUAUUAAUUUGAUUCUUCCUUCCUCACUUGAAAUAAGUGUUGUUUGUCAGCUAAUAGAUUUACUUCCUCCAGUCAAGUCUUCGCUUUUAACAAGAAGGAGCAAGGUGUCGGCGUCAACAGGAUGACAAUCAUAACAUGGAGGACAGUAACAGGCUGAGGACAACAAGGAAGGAAACAUGUCAUGGACAGAAAUGGAGCCGCUCAAGAUCCCCUGUACAUGAACAACAGAUGAUGUCGUCAUCCAGAUUAACUCUUUAGCUUUGGUAAAUUCUCAUUACAAGCUGGUUUCUUCCUCUUCUGGAGCGACAGAGUCCUUAGCACACGAAAUACUUCCGAGGUAGCGUGUAGUUUGUGUGGACAUGAUCACAUCAUGAAAUUUUUCCUUGAAGUUUUUCUUUUUACUGUUAGGUUGUGCUUUUUUUGAUUUACUUUGAUUGACUCCAGCUACCCAGGAGCUUAUCGUGUGUUUUGUGUUUAUGCAAUGUAUGUUCCUUUCUCUUUGUGAAGUUCUUCUAUAAUAUUAAGUUUGAUUUUAUUCCUUUAUUUCAGAUUUUAUUUUAUCUAUGAUAUUGUUUAUAGUUGUUUGAUGAGGGGUAGGCUUAGUAUUUUUAUAUUUUUUUCAUACUAAAUUAAAUAAACCUCAAACAUUUAUUGGCUUAUAAUAGAAAAUAAAUCUUGCAU